AGCAACGGGAGAGAAAGCAACAGCAACGUCAGUUAUUCAAACUGGCUUACAGGAUCUUUGUGAAACGUGGCCGUUUCCCCACUUUUAUUCAAAUAAUUAUUUACACAUUGAAGUCGCAUUCCCUCAUUCAUUAUGUUCUGCCACUUAAAAAAAAAAACAUGCUUAGGGCUGGAGCGAUGGCUCAACGUUCGUUGCUCUUGCAGAAGACACAAGUUUGACUGCAGCGCCCACAAAAUAUCUCACAACCAUCUGUAAAUCUAGUUUCUGGGCAUCCAGCGCCCUCUUCUGGCCUCCAUCGUGCUGCCAAGCCUGAACAGCCAAGUGGAGGGAAAGAACCAAACCCUGGAAGUUGUACUUUGACCUUCACCCAUACCCUUGUACUCUGGCAUGUAAAGUAAAAAUAUUUUCAAGAUUUCAAAAA